rnacentral:rRNA from 1 species
AUUGAACGCUGGCGGCAGGCUUAACACAUGCAAGUCGAGCGGGGUGAUGGUGCUUGCACUAUCACUUAGCGGCGGACGGGUGAGUAAUGCUUAGGAAUCUGCCUAUUAGUGGGGGACAACAUCUCGAAAGGGAUGCUAAUACCGCAUACGUCCUACGGGAGAAAGCAGGGGAUCACUUGUGACCUUGCGCUAAUAGAUGAGCCUAAGUCGGAUUAGCUAGUUGGUGGGGUAAAGGCCUACCAAGGCGACGAUCUGUAGCGGGUCUGAGAGGAGGAUCCGCAACACUGGGACUGAGAAACGGCCCAGACUCCUACGGGAGGCAGCAGUGGGGAAUAUUGGACAAUGGGGGGAACCCUGAUCCAGCCAUGCCGCGUGUGUGAAGAAGGCCUUAUGGUUGUAAAGCACUUUAAGCGAGGAGGAGGCUCUUUUGGUUAAUACCCAAGAUGAGUGGACGUUACUCCCAGAAUAAGCACCGGCUAACUCUGUGCCAGCAGCCGCCGUAA